rnacentral:rRNA from 1 species
UUAAGUCUUGACGAGUAAGAGGGUCGCGACGGUGAGCGCAGAAGGGUCAGGGCGAGAGCCUGCCUGGAGCCGCCGUUGGUGCAGAUCUUGGUGGUAGUAGCAAAUACUCUAGCGAGGGCCUGGAGGACUGACGUGGAGAAGGGUUUCUUGUGAACAGCCGUUGCACAAGAGUCAGUCGACCCUGAGCCCUAGGAGAAAUCCGAUGACGAUGGGUGGCUUGACAAUAUGUAUGUGCACACAUCACAGAUUUGUGAUUGGAAUUGCCAUAUCUUAUAGACACAGCUCCUAUUGGGCAAAAGGGAAUCCGGUUCCUAUUCCGGAACCCGGCUGCGUAACUGUCACUUUGCGGGCACUUGCUUGCGAGCGCUCGUCGGGGUAACCCAAACUGGCCUGGAGACGCCGGCGGGGGGUCUGGAAAGAGUUUUCUUUUCUUUAUAAGCGUUCGAGUACCAUGGAAUCCUAUAGCAGGGAGAUAUGGUUUGGAACGCGAAGAGCACCGCAGUUGCGGCGGUGUCCGGACCUUCCCCCCGGACCUUGAAAAUCCAGGUGAGGGCCACGCGGAAGUCGCGCCGG